UACGUAGGGUGCAAGCGUUGUCCGGAAUUAUUGGGCGUAAAGAGCUUGUAGGCGGUCCGGUAAGUCCGCUGUGAAAGUCGGGGGCUCAACCCUCGGAUGCCGGUGGAUACUGUCGGGCUUGAGUACGGAAGAGGCGAGUGGAAUUCCUGGUGUAGCGGUGAAAUGCGCAGAUAUCAGGAGGAACACCGGUGGCGAAGGCGGGUCUCUGGGCCGUAACUGACGCUGAGGAGCGAAAGCGUGGGGAGCGAACAGG
rnacentral:rRNA from 1 species